UGGUGAAACACAUGUAAACCG
rnacentral:siRNA from 1 species